rnacentral:rRNA from 1 species
UACGUAGGGUGCGAGCGUUGUCCGGAAUUAUUGGGCGUAAAGGGCUCGUAGGCGGUUUGUCGCGUCGGGAGUGAAAACCCAGGGCUUAACUCUGGGCUUGCUUUCGAUACGGGCAGACUAGAGGUAUGCAGGGGAGAACGGAAUUCCUGGUGUAGCGGUGAAAUGCGUAGAUAUCUGGAGGAACACCGGUGGCGAAGGCGGCAUCCUGGACCGACACUGACGCUGAGGAGCGGAAGCCAGGGGAGCAAACGGG